GCGGGCGCGCUUAAAAAAAAGCGCCGCCUACGGCGGCAGGGUUCGAUUCCCAUCGCCCGCUCCA
rnacentral:tRNA from 1 species